rnacentral:rRNA from 1 species
GACGAACGCUGGCGGCGUGCUUAACACAUGCAAGUCGAACGGAAAGGCCCUGCUUUUGUGGGGUGCUCGAGUGGCGAACGGGUGAGUAACACGUGAGUAACCUUCCCUUGACUUUGGGAUAACUUCAGGAAACUGGGGCUAAUACCGGAUAGGAGCUCCUGCUGCAUGGUGGGGGUUGGAAAGUUUCGGCGGUUGGGGAUGGACUCGCGGCUUAUCAGCUUGUUGGUGGGGUAGUGGCUUACCAAGGCUUUGACGGGUAGCCGGCCUGAGAGGGUGACCGGCCACAUGGGGACUGAGAUACGGCCCAGACUCCUACGGGAGGCAGCAGGGGGGAAUAUUGCACAAUGGGCGGAAGCCUGAGGCAGCAACGCCGCGUGCGGGAUGAAGGCCUUCGGGUUGUAAACCGCUUUCGCCUGUGACGAAGCGUGAGUGACGGUAAUGGGUAAAGAAGCACCGGCUAACUACGUG